AUUGAACGCUGGCGGCAGGCCUAACACAUGCAAGUCGAGCGGAGCGGCGGACGGGUGCGUAAUACCUAGGAAUCUGCCUGUUCGUGGGGGAUAACGUCCGGUACCGGGCGCUAAUACCGCAUCCUAUCAGAUUAGCCUAUGUCGGAUUAGCUAGUUGGUGGGGUAAAGGCAUACCAAGGCGACGAUCCGUAGCUGGUCUGAGAGGAUGAUCAGUCACACUGGAACUGAGACACGGUCCAGACUCCUACGGGAGGCAGCAGUGGGGAAUAGUGGACAAUGGGCGAAAGCCUGAUCCAGCCAUGCCGCGUGUGUGAAGAAGGUCUUCGGAUUGUAAAGCACUUUAAGUUGGGAGGCGUUACCAACAGAAGAAGCACCGGCUAACUUCGUGCCAGCAGCCGCGGUAAUUC
rnacentral:rRNA from 1 species